CUGUCAUCCUCGCCCCUGAGUGCUCUGAGGACAAAGUCCCCAAGUCAGCAGAAAUGGACAGAUGCCAGCACCCAUUCUCUACUCCGGAGUGAUGGUGCUUGUCACGUAUUUCUAGAAAAUGAACGUGUUCCUUUAAAGGUGCAGGAAUAUAAGGCUUAGGCCAGCUUGUGCCGUGAGAGCGCUCAGCAACUCUGUCCUUGCUUCUAGCAGUGCUGACAUUUAGGACAGAAGAUGCCAUGACCCUGGCAGCCUCCCCAGUACAGCCUAAGUCCUGUCUUCUUGAUGGCACAGGAGCAGUGAACGAGUGGUGGGCUGGGCGUGGUAGGCUCUGCGCAGCCUUAAUGAUGGAGCGUGCAGUGUCCUCUUUUCCAUGGAGGCUGGGAGGUGCGGACAGGCCUACGCUUAGGUUUGGUUUCACCACUGAGGUAGCUGCGUUUGUGGUGGAAUUUACUGCAGGCGAGAGUGGAAGCCAGGUCUGCUCUGCUUCUGAGCGGACUCGGGUUCAGGUCCUCAGGGAUUUGGUUGAAUAUAAAUACUCCAAUGUUCCAUGAGAAACCUUUCUUGGCCAUUUACCAGAACCUCUUAAAACUUAAAGUUAUCAGCCAUCAGCCUGCGCCUGGAGUUAAGUCAGUCACUUAGCUGGUUCUCCUUCAAAUUCUGUUUUUAGGUUAUUGCCCUGUGGUGCCAGAGAGAACCACACAGCCUGCUGCUGCUCCUGCCUUUAAUUUCCCAAAGAGCCAUCAAAAGACCUUGGACUUUGUUCUGCAAGAGGAGCUAGCAAAAUGGAGUGACUGUGGUCACCCUGGAAGCCUUUGACAGCUGGGGAGGCCCUGCUGAGCUUAGAAAACCAUCUGAUAGAUUUCCUGAGUAAGGAUUGGGCUUUGUAUUUUGAAGCACAAAUAAACUUGAUAAAAUU
rnacentral:lncRNA from 1 species